UACGAAGGGAGCUAGCGUUGUUCGGAAUCACUGGGCGUAAAGCGCACGUAGGCGGAUGUGUCAGUCAGGGGUGAAAUCCCGGAGCUCAACUUCGGAACUGCCUUUGAUACAGCACAUCUGGAGUCCGGAAGAGGUGGGUGGAAUUCCUAGUGUAGAGGUGAAAUUCGUAGAUAUUAGGAAGAACGACCGCGGCGAAGGCGGCC
rnacentral:rRNA from 1 species